rnacentral:rRNA from 1 species
CACGUAGGAGGCGAGCGUUGUCCGGAAUCAUUGGGCGUAAAGAGCGCGCAGGCGGCUUGGCAAGUCGGGUGUGAAAUCCCGGGGCUCAACCCCGUGACUGCAUCCGAUACUGUCAGGCUAGAGGUAGGUAGGGGGAGAUCGGAAUUCCUGGUGUAGCGGUGAAAUGCGCAGAUAUCAGGAGGAACACCGGUGGCGAAGGCGGAUCUCUGGGCCAUUACUGACGCUGAGGAGCGAAAGCGUGGGGAGCGAACAGG